GGCUAAUCCAGGGGAAAGGCCACACGUGGACAAGAAAGCCAGACCAGAACUGUCACCUCUUGCUCUCUAGCUUCCAGAACUGUAAAAAGAUGACUCUUUCGGCAUAAACUGCAUAGUCCGUGGUAUCUGAAUCAGUGGUGACCCCAGAAAACAGGAUGAAAAAUUCUAGUGGAGACAAGAUUUUGUUAGGGAUGCCCUGGUCAAAUAUAACGAACCAGUAAAGUGACAUAGAAUAAGGGGAGUGGGGAUAAAGGAAAGAAAAGAAUCAAAGACAUAAUGUGUUGACAUAUUUUAUAUUUGGUAUUUGUAAGUCUUUAAAAAAAGUUUUUCAGGCCAUUUUUUUCCUUAAAAAAAAAAAAAAGCAACCAACAGCAAUACUCUGUACAAGUCUAACAGACAUUAGAAAUGUGCAUCAUUCCAAAAUAGUUACAAGAAAAGUACAGUUUAGAGUCCACAUCAACACUUCUAUUCUGUGCCCCAGGGAGAAAAAGCUACAGUUGUUACACACAGUUGCUACACGGUAGUCUGAAAACACAGAAUUCCGACGUGGUUUUGAGAGGAAUCAACUUCAGUCACCAGGGCUGUUUAGCUCCACAAGCGCGAUCAAGCAUUGCAAAAGAAAACCGGGCUUCUCCAUCCCAGCAAAACAAGUCUGAAUCAGCUGCAUAGUUGACCCUUCCCUACCUCCCCCCCACUCCCACCCCCCCAGAGCCUCCAACUCCACAAAGCACAAAUCCAGAGGGUCCACUGUGCCAGAGUCUGGCUGGAGAUCACAGUGACGGCAGAGAACAGACACGAAACCUCCUUCUGGUGCCCACUGUCACUAGAUUCAGCUCUGGAGGAAAAGUCUCUUCUCUGAGAAGACAUCAAUGGCCCGAGUCCUCCACAGCAGCUGGCCACCAGUCUGUAGCCCUUUCGUUGAUGGCGAGUCCCACACGGGCUGCUUUUCUCCAGGCAACCCUUCCAUCUGAGCAGGGAGCUCCGUCAUUCCAAUUUCACCAGACUCUUCAAAUUUUGGUUCACACUUCCAUCGAGGGCUUGGGGAAUACAGUGAGAAGAAGUACCUUCCCCUCACCUCGGAACAGCCCCGGCCUCUGUCAUGAGUCCUUCUUAACAACAUGUUCAUCGUCCCUUUCCCGUGACUGUGCUAUGCAAACCCCGCCACACAGUCCUCCUCCAGAUGUGGAAUGGCAUGGUGACCUUCGUGUGACCUGCCCGUUUGGAACUCCUGACCUCUCUGCCACUAGCCUUCCUCCUGGGCCUGGAAAUGACAGAGUGGCUUGCUGGGGCUGAAGCAGAGAAGGUUUCUGUGUUUUGCAUUUGCAUACAGUAUGUUUAUGAUUAUGUUGCUUUCGGUUUUUAAGAGACUCCAAUCUUUUACAGGACUUUGUUAGGGGCAAGUCCUUUCCUCAGCCUUUCCCAUGGCAGUGGAGGCAGGGCCUAGGUGCUGCACUGGAUUUGACACCUUGCUACCCACUACAAUGGUUCCUAACACACUGAGCAGGUGGGUAGGUGGUACACAGAACUACUGCCAGAUGGGCCCAUCUGUAUAGCACCCCAGAAUCGGCACAUGCUAGGGGGACAGACUAAAUGGGAUUCGGGAACAAUGAGCCCAUGUUCACUUCACUCCACACCUGGGAACAGCAUGGCUUCCCUGAUUCACAACUGCAGUAUCAAAGUCCCCAGUGAAGUUGAGUCAAGGGGCCCAACCUACCCUGGCCAGUCCUUUCCCGGAAGGGCCCGACACAAAAUGAACACCAAAAUGCAAAAGAUUUAGCAAAAAGUGCAGUUUCCAUUUGAGAAGUAAAAUUCUCCCCCAAAGCGUGACAACGUCCCGACCUCUCCUUUCAAUCCUCUCAGUACCUCAAAGGAAAGGGGGACAGAACACAUAGAGCACUACAGCUCUGACCACACCAAGGGUAAGCAUAUCGUGGUUCACCCUCUACAACCCUAAAACACUCAUGAUCAUGUCCAGACAGCCAUCAAAAGUGCUGGUGAGGUGAAGAGCGGAACACCAGAGGGCUACUCCAGGGCCCACAGUGGCCGGGACCCGCAGAGAAGACCCCGCUCUCAUCUUCAACAGGAUACCAUUGUCCCAAACACAGCAGGAUGUAUCACUGUGGCAAACAGCCACAGGAUCCAGGGACUUGGCGAUUCCUUCAUAAGACCUUAUCUACUUCAUUGCCUACUAGAGAAUAAACUCAAAACUUCUUCAAAUAUAACCUGAGCCACAAGAUAAAAAAUAAAAGACACAAAUCUUGUCAUGUUAAUGCCUUGAGAGGUUUACAGAUUAUGUACCAAUAAAAUAAAUCCACAUAAAUUCUGAA